CCCGCUGAACUUAAGCAUAUCAAUAAGCGGAGGAAAAGAAACCAACAGGGAUUGCCUCAGUAACGGCGAGUGAAGCGGCAACAGCUCAAAUUUGAAAUCUGGCUCUUUCAGGGUCCGAGUUGUAAUUUGUAGAAGAUGCUUUGGGUGUAGCUCCGGUCUAAGUUCCCUGGAACGGGACGCCAUAGAGGGUGAGAGCCCCGUCUGGUCGGACACCGAGCCUCUGUAAAGCUCCUUCGACGAGUCGAGUAGUUUGGGAAUGCUGCUCAAAAUGGGAGGUAUAUGUCUUCUAAAGCUAAAUAUAGGCCAGAGACCGAUAGCGCACAAGUAGAGUGAUCGAAAGAUGAAAAGCACUUUGAAAAGAGGGUUAAAAAGUACGUGAAAUUGUUGAAAGGGAAGCGCCUAUGACCAGACUUGAGCCCGGUGAAUCAUCCAGCGUUCUCGCUGGUGCACUUUGCCGGGCACAGGCCAGCAUCAGUUUGGCGCGGGGGAUAAAGGCUUUGGGAAUGUGGCUCCCUCGGGAGUGUUAUAGCCCAUUGCGCAAUACCCUGCGCCGGACUGAGGUACGCGCAUUCGCAAGGAUGCUGGCGUAAUGGUCAUCAGCGACCCGUCUUGAAACACGG
rnacentral:rRNA from 1 species